UACGAAGGGGGCGAGCGUUGUCCGGAAUUACUGGGCGUAAAGAGUGUGUAGGCGGUGCUCUAAGUCUGUUGUGAAAUCUCCCGGCUUAACCGGGAGGGUGCGGCGGAAACUGGAGUGCUUGAGGGUGGGAGAGGUAAGCGGAAUUCCUGGUGUAGCGGUGAAAUGCGUAGAUAUCAGGAGGAACACCGGUGGCGAAGGCGGAUCUCUGGGCCAUUACUGACGUGCGUGAGGCAGACGAAGCGUGGGGAGCGAACAGG
rnacentral:rRNA from 1 species